ACUACGGGGGGCAGCAGUGAGGAAUAUUGGUCAAUGGGCGGAAGCCUGAACCAGCCAAGUAGCGUGCAGGAUGACGGCCCUACGGGUUGUAAACUGCUUUUAUACGGGAAUAACGCGCCUUACGUGUAGGGCUUUGCAUGUACCGUAUGAAUAAGGACCGGCUAAUUCCGUGCCAGCAGCCGCGGUAAUACGGAAGGUCCGGGCGUUAUCCGGAUUUAUUGGGUUUAAAGGGAGCGUAGGCCGCAUGUCAAGCGUGCUGUGAAAUGUCCGGGCUCAACCCGGGCCUUGCAGCGCGAACUGGCGUGCUUGAGUCCGCGGAAAGCAGGCGGAAUUCGUGGUGUAGCGGUGAAAUGCUUAGAUAUGACGAAGAACCCCGAUUGCGAAGGCAGCUUGCUGCAGCGGAACUGACGCUGAUGCUCGAAAGCGCGGGUAUCGAACAGGAUUAGAUACCCGAGUAGUC
rnacentral:rRNA from 1 species